UGAGAUUCUAAUGGAGCAUACAAAGUAGCACUUUAGAUCAUUAACCAGAGGUAUUGAAGGCACAGCAGCCAGAGUAGACAACCGUUAAAAGAACUUUUCUGCAAGUUUAUAAUCAAAAUCACCAGGUACCACCAUAAUAGAAAUAACAACACUUGUACUGAUACAGGGUAAAAUGAAGAAGGAUUUUUAAGAGUAUAUGAGGUUUGUUUCCUUAAAGGUUGUUUGGGGGCUCUGAAGAACUGAGCCUCUGCCUUGCUGGUGCAUGGACAGCAAGACCCUAUCUAAAAAGGAUUGACAUCGUUGGAAGAGUGGAUGUCUUUUGAGAGAGAAUCGGUGAGAUGAAACCAGCUUUAGCGCAUCAAAAUCCACACGGGAUGUCUCUGUAAAAUAAA